UCUGACCAGUUUUUUGAGGGUAAUGCGAUGCCUCUGCUGCUCUGCUGAUGGUGCUACUCACGCUCAUCUUCCUGCCACUCUGUGGAAAAAAAGUUCAGUCUUUGGAAGACGUAUGAUAAGCAGAGGCUCAUUUGUUGCAUGGGGUUCUGAGGAAGGGAAGAGUGAAAAUACAGGAGAGUGGUUUUUCCCCUAUUUCAGUCUCUGAUUUAAAUCAGCUUCUGAGGCAGCAUUCAUUUCUGGGAGAAGAGUGAUGGUUUUGGAUUGAGAUUCCUGCAGUAGGACCAAUCUUUUGGGGGUAGCCACCACCUGCAUUUCUGAGCUGGCGUAGUUGUUAAAAGGUGACCAGUUACACUGACAGUACACCCAGGUGCCGUGUUCCUGGUUUCUCCGCCACUGAGAAGCUGAGCCACAAAUCUCCAGACAUCUGUUAUCAUUAACAGAAGGGCAAAAAUAUUAAAAUGUAAACCAUAAAAUAAAUCUGUUGAAUAAAUCAAAGAUAGAACUGAAGGAGAAAUAUGAAAUCCCUGUGUAGCUGGCAUAACUCAUUCUCGCCGACAGUUCAAAAUCAACCGUAGCAGGAGAAUUUAAUGAUACCAUUGUUUAGUGAAAUUAGACAUGACACUAGCCAGUUACCUUUUAUUUUGGUUGGUUAGGAUUUGCUAUUGUUUGACACUCAUUAGAAAUCACAGUAACCUGUUUUUAGGGCAGGCAAAUUAAGAUUCCCUCUCUCUGUACAAGAUUACUCAUCAUACCACAGCUACAUGGUAAUUGGAAAAUAACUAGUGGAUGAGUACGCCUUACACAACCUGUCAUCUGAGCACGUCAGGUAACGUACCAGAGGUGAUCCUGCGAAGAAUUUGGUUGUACACACAACAGCUAAGAAAAAAACUAAUGCGGGAGAUUAACGCUACAAUCACUUAUCAGAUGCAGAAAUAAUUAUUAAUCCUUAAUGACGCCUGUAAUUUCUUUAUGGAAAUUCACCUGCCCUUCUGUUUCCUUCAGUGCCUCCAGCAUGAGAACACUUGUUUUUCAACCUGAACCUCAGCCCUGGCUUUUCUUUAGUCUAGGAAUUACUGUGAGUGAGUUUAAGAAGCCCUAGGGUUUGCUGUGCCAAGCCAGACUUCCAUGAAGACCUGUGAACUUGCUACGCUUGCAAGCAAACAGGGUGAGCUGCUAGCUCCAGGUGUGUUUAUUGCCUUCUGUCUCCUGCCAGAGGAAACCUUGCUUAGCUAAACCAUGUAGAGUGGGGGAAAAAUUAAGGGGACAUGUACUACAAAGCAUCUUUAAGUCUUGCAGGAGAUGAGCAAAUGCAGGGAGAGGUAUAAUAGCAGUCGUACUUGCAUUAGCAAGCAGCAAGGUGCAGUAAGAGCAGCUUUGGGGAAUGAAACAUUUGGUGCUGGUCCACUACGUGCAUUCUGGGUGAUUCAUCUGGGAUAGUUCUAAUCUGGCCCCGUGGCUUGGAAUACGCAGUAGCACUGGGACAUGUUAGGUGAGCUUCUGGAGCACACUUUGCCAUUUAGUUUUGGCUGAAAGGAAUCCAGUUCUGCAGGGUGGACCAAAGUGCAGUAAGGUCAUCUCAGAAGAGCUGUCCUAGUCCAAAAUAAGACAAAUGCCAAUACAGCUGUAGAAGAGUCUGUAGAAGAGUCUUCAGGAAGCCAGUCAAACCAGCCUCCCAUUCCUGGAAGUGUUUAAGGAAAGACGAUCUGAACAUGCACAGCCUGUUUUGUUGUUUUUAUGCCAUGUUCACUCUGCAAUGCUUUUGUUCUAGGGAAGCAAUACUUUGCAAUCAGGAAGUUGCUUGUUUUGUGAUUAGCAUUGCUGCUUCACCAGAGGGAAGGGACGGCACUGUCUGGACAGAUUUUGGAUCUGCUGAGAGCAUUUGCUUCUGGUACUCCACCCAAGAUCCAGUCUACAACUGGAAAAGUUGCCUGAUUCCCACGGGUGACUUUGGAUUUAGGAGCCAAGAGAUGUGUGGGGCACCAUGUCAGGUGAGGCUGGUCCACAAUGUAGUUCACCCAGUAGCUGUGACAAGAGUUUCCAGUCUCAGUUUGGCAGGAAGACGUGCAGGUAAGAUUAGCAUUAUCAGUUUAUUCUCUGCAAUGCAUUCAUUUGUUUCAAACUGGAAAACACACUCCUUGCAUCACCGUGCUCAGCUCUACGUGUUGCCUGCAUAUUCAAACAGAAGAUGAAUUUUCACUUUUGAUAGUUCAGCUUACAAAACGAAGAGAGAGAGGGAAGAAAGACCCUUCUGCAUCGGUGUGAUGAUUAUCAUAGAAUCAUAGAAUCAUAGAAUAUCCUGAGUUGGAAGGGACCCUUAAGGAUCAUCAAGUCCAACUCUUGACACCGCACAGGUCUACCCAAAAGUUCAGACCAUGUGACUAAGUGCACAGUCCAAUCUCUUCUUAGAUUCAGACAGGCUCGAUUGAUCACUUUUUAUUUUUGCUCAGAUGCCAGGUCUAGAUUUGCAAUGGAAAAGCAAUGCACUGUUUCACACAGAUACUUCAGGAGGGGGCCCUGAAGGAGGAAUGCAGAGUGCUGUAAGACGGGGCUGAAGAGAUCAGACAGGAACCAGGAGAACAAAAGCCGCCACUGUUGGAGAUCUGGGAGCUGGUGCUGGAUGAAGCGAGGCCUCCCGCUGUUUGCUGCUCACUGUUGCUGUGGCCAGGCUGGCAUCGCUGUGCAAGGGGAAAUGCAGGCGAAGAGCUAAUCUAUUGAAACAGAAGGACAGACUUAGCUUGAGAAGAUGAGCAUGCUGAGCUGGUUUCUGCUCUGUUACACCCUGAAACCUCACUGAUAUCUGUAGAGUUCCCCAGCUGUAACGAGGAGCGGACGGGGGUUCUUUAUGCAUUUUCUCCAGAGCCAGACUGGUGAGGAUUUGGUGAGGACUGGAGAAACUGAUACUGAGAUUUGCAGCUCUGCAGGAGGGAAUCUGUUUGCUUAAUUUGGGAAGAGACAGUCAUAUAACUUACAGUGUGUAAAGCUUAAGCAGUGGAAGUGUCCCCCAGAGCACAGUGCAGAGUUCGAGGCAGCUAGGAAAAGUCUUUCAGGCUGCCUGAGUCUUUCCACAAUGCUUCCUCCAAGUAGUCACAGGGAAACGCCUGCUCCGAACAGCUUGAGCAAGAACUCAGCUCUGGGACCAGCUGGGCUUACGACAGCCUUGUUUUGUCUUACAGCCGGUGUAAUUUCUCCCAGAAGGUGAAUGAAAGCGUGGCUUCUGAAACACAGCUAAUCCCAUAAUUUCACCUAGUUCCCUGGCAAAUGCUUCCAGUACUGAAUGGCUUCCGCUGCUGUGUAUGUCUCGUUUCAAGGUUAAAUUUCUAAUUUCCAGCUUUUGCCGUUGUCUUAAGAGAGGCACCGUGGUAUCCCAAAGCCCUCUCCCACAAUUGCCUUCCCCUGUAUCGGUGCCAGGAGCAGCAAUGAGAUCCCUUCUCAGUCCCAUCUUCGGGAAGAACACAGGCUGGGCACAGCUUCCCAGCAGAUUGUCACUGGUGCCACAAAUGAGAAGGAUCACCCCCUGCUGGGGUCUGUGAUUGCCCUUUCUGAACACGGAGGGAUCAGAGAUGUCCCUUAUGGCAGCUUGCACCGCAGCUGGGGCUAAAGCAGAGCUCUGAGAUGUCCUCUAAGUCCUUUUCAAAGCAACUGCUUUCCGAGGCAGCAUUCUAGAGGCCAGUGUGGAGCCAGUGACGGUUAUCAACCUGGAUCUUGGUGGGGAACAGGGCUGCUCUGAUUGCUGUGGAGUGAGCUGGAUCCACAAGCUUAUCCAGAGCCAGGUGAGGGCUCGCUGGCGCUGCGCAGGGAUUGGGAGGGUAACGCUGCAAAGCUGGCCCAAAGCGUGCGCCCUGUUAGCACAACGCCGUGCCCGGGGAGGGUACGGAGGGGAGCGUUGACAACUGGAGCCCGAUCAGAUGCCAGCGGGGAGCAGAAGGGCAGCAGAAGGGGUUCUUGAGAUCUGCCCAGGCAAAAGAUCUCUGCAGAAGGGGCUGUAGCACCUUGCCCGGAGCGUGAAGUCAGCUGCAGUUUGUCUUCAAUGACCUUUUGCUGACUUCCAUCUUGCAAGGUGGCUUUGACGGGCGAGAUGGAGCAGGGGCAAAUCCCGUGAGCCUGCGAGUUCCCAUGAAGCACAAGCUGCUCCGAAGAACCCGCUCCUUAAGGAGAACUGGAAGAGGCAAGGAAGGAAUGGCUCUUUGUCCCACCGAGGGCGUUUUCCACGAUUCCUGCUGGGACCACUCGCUGGAUGUUCUUUAGAACAUCAGGACAAGCACUCUGUGUCCUUCUCCCUUCUUGGUUACUUCUAAAUGAAAGAGAAAGUAGAGCAGCUAUCAUCUGUCCAGGAAAAAGGACAUUCAGAGCACCUUUACUGAAGGAGAGAAAGUAGAAGAGCCUUUGUGCAUGCCUUUCUUCUUGUACUCUUAAGCUGAUUCUAAACACAGGGCACUCUUAGGCACUCAGGGAGAGCUGUGCCAAGGCAGAUGAGCGUCCCCAGUCUUGGCCACAACACUUGUAGCAUCAGAGCCUGCUCGCUUGACUACAUCCAGAGUCAUCUCCAGCACACGCAGAGGCUUCUUCCUUCCCCCUCCCAGGCUCUGCAAAGGCAAAGCAGUUGCUGGCGUGCCGGGCCGUGACACAGCAAGCAAAGCGAGGAGGGAGCUGUGUCAAACACACAGCUCUCCCGGACAGCUCAGCAGCACGCACACUGGGAGCAGGUCUGAACACAGCUCGAUGGCAGUUCUCUGCUCGGCCUGCCAAGGCUCCGGCUCCAAACUGCUUCUCGGCAUCCUCCACCUUCUUUUUGAAAAGUAACAAAGACAUCUGAUUUCCUCCCACCCCUUCUCUGCGCGCCCCUCUGCUCCCUCCCUCCCCCUCCCUGGCACUGGGGUUAUUUAUACAGAAUGUGGAAACAAUUUGCAGGAAAGCGAACAAUGUAACCCGGAGUGAGGGAAGGGAGACAAGUUUAUUGUGCACACUGAGGGGCCUAGAAGCGAGGCGCUGCGCUUUUGGGGUGAGAGGGAGCGGGCUGCUUUCCUUUCUUUCUGCUCCCCUCUUUCAGCAUCUCACUGCGUCACUUUGUCUUGCCAGAGCCAGGUCCAAACCAGAGCAACCAGAUCUGACUGCGUGAUUUGGAAGAAGCUCAGGUUGGAUCCCCUCCCUGCACCAGAGCUUGUGCUUAAUCCUCUGAGAGGUUUUGCUCUCGGAUCAUUUCUGCUCCCGGGCUAGCAUUAAUGAAGAGCAUGUGUGCCGAGAGGUCCUGAUCCAGGCCCUGAGAGCUACAGCACUGCUGCAGGCACUGUUUUAUGCCAGGGUGUUGCACCUAGCUGGUCAGAGGAAUGGUUCGGCUGAACGAGAAGAUUCCCCCAGAGUGAACAAGGCAGAAGCUUUGUGCAAAGUGUGAUUUUGCUCCUCCUCCCCUUGCCCACUAAGGGUGAAGUUUUCAGAGCAGCCCAGCACUUUGUUAGCACAGAUGUGAAAGCAUCUUUGUAAAUCUAGCAGUUUGCUUUGGUGCCCACCACAGAGCUGAGCUCUGCUGGAAUUUGGGACCAAAGCACGUGCACUUCUCAGAGGUGAGGGUGCCCUUUGUCCGUGGGUGUAAGCUGAGCCAGCAUUUCAGCCUUGAGCAGCUCUGAUGUCUUCAGAUCUCCCUCUGCACGGGGCCCAGUUACCAUAAAGUGCUUAAAAAGAGGUAAUCCCAGCCCACUCAUCUGUUGAAAAGGGCACGUUAGUGUUGCAGAGGGAAGGAGAUGUUCUCCACAGGUUGCACAUCUGAGCAGAGCAGCUGCCUUGGCAAGCUCCUCCCUUCCCGGGAGCUCGCAGCUUCUUUACUCAAUAGCCUCAAGACUUGGGACGUGAUCUGUGCAAGUCGUGCUGAGCUGAGCUGAUGGGGCAGAGUCAAGAAGCUGCCAACUGGGUCAUCGUGUUCCUCCCUAAACCAGACAAAUUUCUGACCCUGAACUGGUGGAGUUUGGUGACCAGCACAGGAGGGAGCCAUGCACAGAGGGACAGUUAGAAGGAACCUGCAGUGGGUUCUUCCUCCAUGAGAUCUCACCCUCUCCACCUCCAGUAUUUCCUUCUCAGUCUUUGUCCAUACACAGAGUGUGAACUUUCAGUGUAUGUGUGUCCUGUAAAAUUUGCAUCUGCUGUGCCACACAGAGUGGCAAAUGUCUCUGUGGGCAGGCUGACCCUUCUAAAACUAGGGACACAGCAUCGACACCAUCCCAAAUGCUUUAGCUGAUCCCUUCCGUUAGCCAGUUCUUGGCCCAAAUUAGCAAAUUUUGGUGAAAAACACAGCACAAGGCAGGAGUGAGGUUAUUCUGGUCACCUUUGCUUUCUGAUGGGAUCUCACCAGGGGCAGUUCAGCUCUUCUCUUUGGGGUCUGCUAGUUUUCCUUAACUCUCAGAAGGGCCAGAAGCAGCAACGGUUUCUGUUUUCUCUUCCAAGCCAGGCACCAACACUGGUGAAGCCCACAGCUGGGAGCAAAGAGUGACUGCCACCUUCUGCUGCUCCCCAUCGGCUGAGGCAGUGCCCAGCCAUCACAGCGCAGCCCCUCUCCACCAUGAGAACCAGGAGCAGAGGCUGUGGCACAAAGAAACACGGGGUUUGGAGGCAUUCACUCUAUCUGCACCCGCCUCUGUUAGCACAGCGUGCUCCCCGAGCCGUCUGCCUCCCAUCCAUGCAGCUGCCUCUCACAGAGCCCGUGGAUGUCUGCAGCAGCCUGCCCAGGCUUGUUGCACAGGGUGCUUGGCUGACUAGCAGCGUGCUGGGCUACAGAGAGUGUUUCAGUGCCUUAAGACUCUGGAGAGCCCCCUCUGGUCCCUCCUGCACCUGUGCUUAGCUCAGGUUCUCAGGAAAGCGGCUCUGGUUUUGAGGGUUGUCUCUGGGCGCUCCACUGAAGGCAAUAUGGGCAGACAGGUUUUCAGUCUCUUUCUGACUCCCAAGGUCCCCCUUUUAUCCCUGGAGAUGUGGCCUUGAGUUAAACUGCAUGGAGAACUCUUGAGCUAAGCAGCUCACAGCAGCUGUACAGGUUUGGGCAAAGUAGAGUCUUGUACCUCUACCUCGAGAGACUUGAAAAUGCAGAGAGCAGCAGUGUAAUUUCAGGAAAACAGCCACGGGAGCACAUGUGUUUUUCCCUUUCUGGUUUGAUUCUAAAUGUUUAAAUUCUCAUAAUUUGGGUCUCUCCUUGGAGUGAUUGUGGUGCCGAAGCCAUCCUUAGCUUUUUGGAAUUUCCUUUGUCAUCUUGUUCUUGUUUAGAUUAUUUUUAGGACUAUGUAGAGGAAAACAUAUUUGUAUUCUUACGUUUCAUGCUGCUUGCUUACCACCUGAAAUCCUCAUCUGCUCUUUGCAGUUCCCAGCACAACUGUGAGCAAUAUCCCGAGCAGAGCAUUCCAACUUCAGGUGGAGAAAAGCAACAGAAGCAGAUGGGCUUGUAAACAGCAGAGAGCCCGCUGUCCUGCGGAGGUCCUUGCAGAACAGAGAGGAGCAGAAGGGGAGCUGCGAGUGGCUGCACAUGUUCCAUUAGCGGAGUGAUGGUGAAGAGAAGCAGGGUGCAUCAGCCCCGUGCGGAGGUGUGGGGAGCAGCUCUGUUGCUCCUGCUGCCUCUGCUCUCACAGGUGUGCCGCAGGGACGGUCGCAGGGGAGCUGGGAAGAAAAGCCCGGUGCUGACACAGCCUGUCAGGGCCUCCAGCCCAGGUGAUGACAAACCUCCAAGUGCUUCUAGCUGCCCCUGAGAAGCAGCACAUGAACUGUUUCCUGAAGGAAUACAGAUCCCUGGCUGCAUAAAGGCUGCUUUUCCUUGUCCUUCGCUCACCCUGUGUGUAAUAGAGCCUAGGAGUGAUGCAAUCAGGCGUACUUCCCUGUUAGAGGGCAGGGGACUCCUUCUGUCUUUACUUUACUUUCAUGCUUGGGCAGGACCCUCUUUCCUGUCAUUUCUGGCUGCUCUUUGCUUACCGAUGAACCCUGGGGGGUUCGGUUGCUUAGUUUAGAGCCAGGAAAUGAAUGAAGAAGGGCAGGAGAAGAAAGAAAACAGAAUAAGGAGGCUCACUUCCAUAGUUUAUUGGGCCCAGAGAGAUUUCUAUAAACCACAUGGUUUCAGGUGUAAAAGAAAUGAAAGAUGAUAACCAACGUGGAAGAAUGGAGCAGCCCAAACCUCCCACAGCCCAGUGAGUCUCCAGAAAUGUUGGCAAGGCUUAAACAGCAAUUUACUGUAGCUGCAGGCAAAGAGCAGCCCCUCCACCUUGUUCAUGUCAAGAAGAGGUCCUGAUUCAUGGGAUCUGUUUUUAUUUCCUCUGACAGGGAGACUACUGUGGAUCCUGAGCAGUGUAGCAGUCACUGAGAUAAGAGACCUGUGAAAGAUGGUUCCAGGUGAGGAUUGUAGAGAGAUUUGUGUUGAUUUAAGGUUGAAGAGUUGAUAUUUCUAUUGUUGGUGAGGAUUGGGAGGGGAGAUUACCAAGUCCCCAAGUCUUAAUGUAAAAUGCUUAGAAUCUGGAACAGAUUGCCAAAAAGACACUUAGGGAUGACUAAAUGCACAAAGCAGCUUGAAUACCCCUACCACCAGAGAUCAUCCAGUCCAGGAUAAAACCUCCGAAAUGGGCAGCACUUAUAUAAAGUACAUGUGUCUGGGGACUCAAAAUACAAGAAAACAGUACCUGAGGAUAAGGUAACACUUUCUUCUCUGUUUCCUAGAAAGGAAGGAGAAAAUGCCAAGAAGUUACUUUUUUUUUUUUUUUUUUUUUUGACAAUGGACAGGAGUGGACAGCUCAGGAUUUUUUUUUUUUUUCUGAGCUGGAGAAGAACCACUGCAGGUUAAGAUGAUCCCCGUAACCCAACACAGUGGGCUCACUUCAUCCCGCCACAAGUGGUUCUGGCAUUUCUAGCAAGAUUUGCAAUUCUAAGAAGUAACCUCAGAGGUUAAUUGAAGUCUGAAAAUAAGUUUAUUUGGUAGAUAGGCUAGAAGGGUUUAAUUACAUGUUUAGAUCUGUGUUACUUUAACCAUAAAUUUUACCUGGGAAAGGAAACUGUGGUAUUGGGAACAACAGCUUCGAGCAGUUUGGAUUUGGAGACGGAAAAUCAUGGGGACUGGCAGAUGGAAAUGAGCUCUGAAUUAAAGGAUUCUCUUUGUUUGUUUUGGGCCCAAAAUAACUGGACUAUGUGUAAGGCCUGCUUUUCUGAGGAUGGGUACUCAGCAGUUUGGUGACAGACUGUCAGAAGGAAUCUAUCUGAAAUACAAGCUAUACACGUCUGGAUUCUUUUUGCCUUCUUUUUUCUGCCUGGUAUGUCAUAUUCUCCUUGCAGUUUUCCAGAUCAGAGUUACUCUUCCACUUGUUCCCCUUUGCCUCCUGCUGAGUCAAUUCCUUUAUUUUCUACCAUUAUUUGUACUGUAGUCACUCCCAGAAUCUGGGCAAUCUUCCUCAGAAGUCUCCUUGUCUCCCAAGCUCACCGCCAACUCUCCCACUAAAGCUUUUCUUUCUUUGUUCUGCAGAAGAAGAAAAGGCCAGGAAAGUGUGCUGUGACACCACCCAUUCAGGUGCCAUUGCCCUGUAAUUUGUUACAAACUUGAUACGAACGUAGAGUCACUGAGAAGUGCUGCAGUGAGACGUGUAAAGGCUAAAUUGGUUUUAGCACAUGAAAGGGAAGCAAGUGCUGUGGCCUGGUAUCAGGCACCGAGUUCUGGUUUUGGUUUGGACACUGACUCACUCCCUGAGCUCAGGGAAAUCGCUUCCCUUCUCUGUGCACCUGUUUCCACUCCCCACCUCUAAUUGUCUGUCUGGUUAGGCUGUGAGCUCUUCAGGACACAGCCCAUCUCUCGCUACGUGCGUGCACAACGCCUCGGCACAAUGGAGCCUUGUCUUGGUUGGGGCCUUAGGUGUUAAAGUAAUACAAACAAGAAUAAAAGGUAUGCCCAGACGGCACGGCAAGCUUCCCAGACAUGCUGCCCUGCAAGCGUGUCUGAAACCCGAUGUGCUGGGAGCCGUCUCUGUUCCCAGCCCUCGGCUUCUUUAUGCCGGCCAACAAGGCAUUAACCAGUUCCAGUUACAAUGGGGAGGUGAACUGGCACGGUCCCAGUUCCACUGGGAGCCAGGGUGAAAUCACUAAGCCCAUUUUACAAACUCAAGCAGCAUCCGAUAGGAACCCCCAUCCCGUGCAGCCACGGACCUGCCUGGAGCUUAGCCACCUCCCUGCAGGUGAAAAGCUCCGCUCGCCAGCCCCGAACUCAUCUCGGCUCCAAUUUGCCAGCAGAGAAGUGAGCAGGAACAUUUUCUCCUUUCCUCCCUUGUCUGAGGAGCUGCGUGCAUGUUCUCAGGCUUUCCUUCUUGCCUUCCUGCUUCUGCAUAGCCCCUUCCUCCAGUGGCUUGUUCGUUCCCAGCGCUCCACCCCAUCUUUUGCUUUCCUCCGUGGUUUGAGACAGCAUCUCGCUGGUCCUGCCUCACACUCGGUGAAGGGGUAUUAGAUGGAUUCCCCACAGAGUAUAAAUUGAAUGGAGAGAAGUGGCUGGUUUCCCAGCAAUAAUUUAUCUGAUUAAAAAAAUACUCCCCGAACUCCCCCCUCCUCUGCUGGCCCUACACCCCCUCCAAAAAGAAGACUGGCACUCGGGCUAGUGUUACAACUGCAUUAUUCAAAUCACUGGAAGGGGGAUUUCGAUGGGAAAAUGACUGUCAAAAGAUGGCUCUCUGGGGAAAAAAGUGGGAGCUCUGAAAUGUGGAUCAUGGGUUGGGGUAUGGAGGAGGCAGAGAGAGUAAAUAAUUCUGAGUCAAGUACCUCUGUGCUUUAUAGCUGUGCCCUCACCUAACAAAUAUUUUACAGAUAGGCACAGAUGCAUCUGCUCACACACGUGUCCCUGCACACUCCUCUUGUAGAAGAAGCCAUCAGCAGCAACUCUGGGGCAAAGCAAGCUGCUCUUGCAGGUCCAUGCCUCCUCUCCUUUUUUUUUGCCUUGAUUCGGGGCUCAUUCCAAAUAAAAGAAGAAAUCCACUUCGCAAAA